UGCUCCCCUCGUCUCCCACAUCGUCGCUGCCACCCACCCCGAUACCAUCCCUCCCCUCGUCUCCCUCCCAAACCUUGCUGCCGGCGGCCUCUCCCCCUCCUCUCCGCUUCCCUCCCACCUCGUCCCCAUCUCUCUCCCGCAGGACGCUGGCAGAUUAGGAGCAAAAACAAAAUCCCCCAAGCCCAACCCACUUCCUCUGCCCUCUUCCUCGAUCCCGUGUCCGCCGCCGCCCCUCAUCUGCACCGGCGCCGGGCUUCCCCGCCGGCGACCUCGCUACCCUUCUCCCGCACCGCUGCCGCCCCCACCCUCUCGCCCUUCCCCAUCUUCUGUCGCUUCCCUUGGCCGUUGCGCGACUGUCUCUUCCCCAUCUUCUCCCGCUUCCCCCCACCCAACCAACACGUUGACACGCAGACACGCUUCACCAGGCGUCGGAGCGACAUCAGCGAGCCAUGAAGGGCGGCGGAGCCAUCCGGAGCGGUGGCGGGGGCGGCGGCGGGCUGAUGCGGACGCGGCUGCGGCUCCCCGUGAUUCGUUUCGUCGUGCGCACGCGCGGGCCUCUGAUCUGGGGUGGCUCUGGCGGUUGUUCCGUGGCAUGAUCCGCAGGGGGAGGAUGACGUGGAGCGGCCGCUGCGGAGGGAGCGGCUCAUGGAGGCGGUCUGGCCGGAGAUGGCGUACGGGGAGUCCGGCGAGCCCGCGCCCUCCUUGAUCCCUUACCAGGUCACGCCUUGUCCCGAUUCCCUUCGUCGCAUUGCCAUUUUGUUCUUCGGGGAUUCAGUUUAGGCUUUGCAGUAUUAGUGACCACUGAUUAGCAUUGGGGACGAUGGAAGAUGGCGUUCGUGAAAUUUUUGGUGAGGAUGCGCGCUGCAUUCGUUGGGGACGUGCAAGUUGCCAGAGUGGUAUGUUCUGUUCUCCUCCCUCCCUCCCACAGUCCCACCCACCCCGUUGCAUGUUCUGUUCUGUUUUUUUCUUUUCUUGGCCUGAUGAUUUUUACUGAUGGAGUUGUUUGUGAGUAGUAAAUGUCAGUGAAUUACAGUGUUCGACCUAGUACAGAAAAAAAAACUUUGUAACAUAUAGUACAUAUUCGAAUUGCUAAAGUCUGUACUGUUUAGCAUGGCUGGAUGGCAGGGGUCACCACUCACCAGGAUAGAUCCACAACAUUGCAUUGUUCUUAUUACUGCAGCUAGCAGAUGAAUUCUGUGGUUGUUACAGGGAUGAUGCUCCUGUGUUGUUCAGUACUGUAUAAGAUACCUGUGUGGUAACAAAAACAAAGUUUGAACAAGCAUAUGCAAAUUUGUGUGGCUCUGAAUAAGAUAUCUAUUUCUUACAGCCUUCUCCGAUUAUGAUUUGUGGCUUAUUGUCAGAAUGAUGUUGCUGAAAGAAAGUUCAGCAAGUUCUGUGGCUAGCAGUUAUAUUUUUCAAUUUUUAUUACAGCUAAGAGCGUAGCUUGGGUCCUUUUCGGGAUAAGAAUUGGGAGGCUCCGAUGUUAUCACCAUCCCAUUUUUCGUUCUUCAAAUAUGUAGAAUUAUUCUUUGUUUGUUGGAUGCUCGAGAGUAGGGGAUAUGGUUUUCUGGGAGAGACAUCUUUACUGAAUUAUGUGCUGAAAAUGUUUUCUUAUGUGUGUUUCAGUGCGAACACGGAUCAGUUGCUGCUCUAAACCCAACAAUUCGGAGGAGGAAUGCACGAGAAGCGAGUCCCCCAGCGAUGCCAAGGUCACACUGUUGUUUUGCUGUGGUUGAUAAACCUGAGACUUCUUUCUAUUCUUCAAGGCGGUUUUGUUUAGGCCAGCCAUGGAGCAGAAAGAACGGACAUUGCUACCUAAGCAAGAGGGAAGACCCGACGAGGCCAUGAUGCUUACCUUGCUCGAGCGCAUCAACCCCGACCAUGGCACCACAUUCACAGUCUUGAGGUAGCCGUGCUGCAACUACAACAACGCUAUCUUCUCUGACUAGAUAAGUCUCCGGUCUAUUCCAUUAUUUUCUUUUGUUCUUUGGUCGAUGGGCCAUGAUGCCAUUGUGUUGAUUCCCUAUGUGAUGCAGAAGCUAUGGUGUUUUGUUUUAAGUCUGUUGUAAAUUGUAAUUGAUAAUGAUUUGUGUAAAAUUAGUGUAGAACAUAUGUCUUGUUAUCUUAAAUCGUUCGUGUCGUGCUCAAUGAACCAUCAAAGAUUAAAUCGUUUUCUGUGUUCAACAUCUAGAACCAUUCUGGGAGUUUUGGUAGACAUGCAACAACUAUGCCUUCUUGUAUUCUGAACAACCAUUUCUGGAAGUUUUGGUAUUCAUGCAACAGCUAGUCCUUGUGGUUAUUACGGUUACAUGUUACAUGUAGAGAUGGUUCAUGAUUUAGUCCCUAGCAGCUUUCUAUAUUUGUUUUUAUUUUGUUUCUAACUCUUUUGGUUAAUUGUUAGAUGCCUUUGUUCAGCCUGUACGGACAUAUCCAGAAAUGGUGUUUCCUCUCAUGUGAAGAGCUCCAGCCUGAAAGUGAAGAAGUCUGGAGUGUAUUUGUAGUAGGUUUAUAUGUUGUGAUGGUAUCAUAUGUAAUGGUGAAAUGAAUUAUGUAAAGAUUGUGCUAUUAGCCAAAAUUGGCAUGUGGUUUGAUAAUUCUCAUUUGUUUGCUGUUUUGAAUGAAA